UGAAGUCAGUGGCAUUACACUGAUGUAAACGAGUUACACUGAUCCUGAAGUCUUUGAGCUAUCUGCAAGGCUCACAUCUGAGUAACACAUCAGAGUACUGGAUGAGGAUGAUCUCUAUUUAAUAAGAACCACUGAGUAAUAUGCUAUAUAAGACAACGAUGCAACAGCUUGGAUUCAUCAUGUGCUCUGAAGUGACAUGAGUUCACUAAGUAAG